rnacentral:rRNA from 1 species
UAGGCGUACGGGUGAGUAACACGUGGAUAAUCUACCUCUUAGUGGGGAAUAACUCUGGGAAACCGGAGCUAAUACCGCAUAAGCCUGGAAAGGGAAAGCGUCGUUCUUAAAAAACGAGGCGCUGAGAGAGGAGUCCGCGGCCGAUUAGCUAGUUGGCAGGGUAAAAGCCUACCAAGGCAUUGAUCGGUAGCCGGCCUGAGAGGGCACACGGCCACACUGGCACUGAAACACGGGCCAG